AUUGAACGCUGGCGGCAGGCCUAACACAUGCAAGUCGAGCGGAUGAAGGGAGCUUGCUCCUGGAUUCAGCGGCGGACGGGUGAGUAAUGCCUAGGAAUCUGCCUGGUAGUGGGGGAUAACGUCCGGAAACGGGCGCUAAUACCGCAUACGUCCUGAGGGAGAAAGUGGGGGAUCUUCGGACCUCACGCUAUCAGAUGAGCCUAGGUCGGAUUAGCUAGUUGGUGGGGUAAAGGCCUACCAAGGCGACGAUCCGUAACUGGUCUGAGAGGAUGAUCAGUCACACUGGAACUGAGCCACGGUCCAGACUCCUACGGGAGGCAGCAGUGGGGAAUAUUGGACAAUGGGCGAAAGCAUGAUCCAGCCAUGCCGCGUGUGUGAAGAAGGUCUUCGGAUUGUAAAGCACUUUAAGUUGGGAGGAAGGGCAGUAAGUUAAUACCUUGCUGUUUUGACGUUACCAACAGAAUAAGCACCGGCUAACUUCGUG
rnacentral:rRNA from 1 species